rnacentral:rRNA from 1 species
AUUGAACGCUGGCGGCAGGCUUAACACAUGCAGGUCGAGCGGAGAUGAGGUGCUUGCACCUUAUCUUAGCGGCGGACGGGUGAGUAAUGCUUAGGAAUCUGCCUAUUAGUGGGGGACAACAUUCCGAAAGGAAUGCUAAUACCGCAUACGUCCUACGGGAGAAAGCAGGGGAUCUUCGGACCUUGCGCUAAUAGAUGAGCCUAAGUCGGAUUAGCUAGUUGGUGGGGUAAAGGCCUACCAAGGCGACGAUCUGUAGCGGGUCUGAGAGGAUGAUCCGCCACACUGGGACUGAGACACGGCCCAGACUCCUACGGGAGGCAGCAGUGGGGAAUAUUGGACAAUGGGGGGAACCCUGAUCCAGCCAUGCCGCGUGUGUGAAGAAGGCCCUAUGGUUGUAAAGCACUUUAAGCGAGGAGGAGGCUACUGAGACUAAUACUCUUGGAUAGUGGACGUUACUCGCAGAAUAAGCACCGGCUAACUCUGUGCCAGCCGCCGCGGUAA